rnacentral:lncRNA from 1 species
CAUGGAGUCAUUAAAAAAACUCCUAGCAAAGCCUGGGACUAAUUUAAGAUGUGUAUGCUCUUUGCUUUUUAGUAGGUGCUAGUUAUAAGAAGAACAUUAUAGUAGUGAAAAAUAUAGAUUCUGAAAAUGUUCUUCAUUGUGUUUACAAGCCAAAAACCUCAGUGUUUUGAUACCACAAUAAGGCAACGAGGAUGGAAAACUAGCUUCCUUUGUAGAGCCUGAUAAAAGGUAACAAUGGAAUGAUUACCCUGAUUUAGAAAAAUACAGCUAUAUGUUACUCUGA